rnacentral:sRNA from 1 species
GUGCAUGUGCCACUUAGACUGCUUCUCCACAGGGUCAGGCUCCCUGAAUCUGAGGAAUCUAAAACUGUCCUCCAUCACAAUGAGAACUUGGGAGGCUUGUCCACAUUUCAGCAGCACAGCCCUGUGGACUUUUUUCAGAAUGAAGUGCUAGUUAGUGGUCUGUCUUUGCUAAACCUUGUAUUUUCAAAAUGGGUGUGAAAAAUGUUUGCUUAGUAUAAUUCCCACCCAUCCUCUCCCCUUAGGAAUAGCCAGGCCAGAAGAAGGAAGGCCUGCUGUGAGUGGGACCGGAAAUGAUAUCACCACCCCACCAAACAAGGAGCUCCCACCAAGCCCAGAGAAGAAAACAAAGCCCAUUGCAGAUGCAAAGGCUCCUGAGAAGCGGGCCUCACCAUCCAAGCCAGCUUCUGCCCUGGCCUCCAGAUCUGGAUCCAAGAGCACUCAGACUGUUGCAAAAACCACAACAGCUACCGCUGUUGCCUCAAUUGGCCCAAGCAGUAGGAGCCCCUCCACGCUCCUGCCCAAGAAGCCCACUGCCAUUAAGACUGAGGGAAAACCUGCAGAAGUCAAGAAGA